rnacentral:lncRNA from 1 species
UGUUUUGGUUCGGAUGCCGAUGUAAUUCCAUCCAGUGGUUGUCGGGCUCCAUGUUUGCUAUCUGUUUGAUUGUUUGUUUGUUGUUUGGCGUGCGUGAGCCGAACUACAGAGGCUCUGAUUCUUGUUCCAGACAAGAUAUGUAGGCAUAAGGUGCGAUACCUUAUCGAGCUCGUUCCUCUUAACCCCACCUGCGUUCCCCGUGUGUGUGUGUGUGAUGUUUAGCAACCUUUU